UACGAAGGGGGCUAGCGUUGUUCGGAAUCACUGGGCGUAAAGGGCGCGUAGGCGGCCAUAUAAGUCGGGGGUGAAAGCCUGUGGCUCAACCACAGAAUUGCCUUCGAUACUGUAUGGCUCGAGAACGGAAGAGGUAAGUGGAACUGCGAGUGUAGAGGUGAAAUUCGUAGAUAUUCGCAAGAACACCAGUGGCGAAGGCGGCUUACUGGUCCGGUUCUGACGCUGAGGCGCGAAAGCGUGGGGAGCAAACAGG
rnacentral:rRNA from 1 species